GACGAACGCUGGCGGCAUGCCUAACACAUGCAAGUCUAGGGGUAGCAAUACCACUGGCGCACGGGUGAGUAACACGUAGGUUAUCUGCCCCCAUCACAGACAUAACCCCGGGAAACCGGGGCUAAUAUCUGAUGAGGUCGCGAGAUCAAAGCUUCGGCGGAUGGGGAUGAGCCUGCGGCUGAUUAGCUAGUUGGUGAGGUAAUGGCUCACCAAGGCGACGAUCAGUAGCUGGUCUGAGAGGACGAACAGCCACACUGGAACUGAGACACGGUCCAGACUCCUACGGGAGGCAGCAGUAGGGAAUAUUGCGCAAUGGAGGAAACUCUGACGCAGCGACGCCGCGUGAGUGAUGAAGGCCUUGGGUCGUAAAGCUCUGUCGCAGGGGAAUAAAAAAUGAGGUACCCUGUAAGAAAGGAUCGGCUAACUUCGUGCCAGC
rnacentral:rRNA from 1 species